GACGAACGCUGGCGGCGUGCCUAAUACAUGCAAGUAGAACGCUGAAGAGAGGAGCUUGCUCUUCUUGGAUGAGUUGCGAACGGGUGAGUAACGCGUAGGUAACCUGCCUUGUAGCGGGGGAUAACUAUUGGAAACGAUAGCUAAUACCGCAUAACAAUGGAUGACACAUGUCAUUUAUUUGAAAGGGGCAAUUGCUCCACUACAAGAUGGACCUGCGUUGUAUUAGCUAGUAGGUGAGGUAAUGGCUCACCUAGGCGACGAUACAUAGCCGACCUGAGAGGGUGGUCGGCCACACUGGGACUGAGACACGGCCCAGACUCCUACGCGAGGCAGCAGUAGGGAAUCUUCGGCAAUGGGGGCAACCCUGACCGAGCCACGCCGCGUGAGUGCAGAAGGUUUUCGGAUCGUAAAGCUCUGUUGUUAGUCAAGAACGGGUGUGAGAGUGGAAAGUUCACACUGUGACGGUAGCUUACCAGAAAGGGACGGCUAGCUACGUG
rnacentral:rRNA from 1 species